rnacentral:rRNA from 1 species
UACGGGGGGGGCAAGCGUUGUUCGGAAUUACUGGGCGUAAAGGGCUUGUAGGCGGCCAACUAAGUCCGACGUGAAAUCCCCAGGCUUAACCUGGGAACUGCGUCGGAUACUGGAUGGCUUGAAUUCGGGAGAGGGAUGCAGAAUUCCAGGUGUAGCGGCGAAAUGCGUAGAUAUCUGGAGGAAUACCGGUGGCGAAGGCGGCAUCCUGGACCGACAUUGACGCUGAGGAGCGAAAGCUAGGGGAGCAAACGGG